rnacentral:rRNA from 1 species
AACGAACGCUGGCGGCAUGCCUAACACAUGCAAGUCGAACGAGACCUUCGGGUCUAGUGGCGCACGGGUGCGUAACGCGUGGGAACCUGCCCUUAGGUUCGGAAUAACUCCCCGAAAGGGGUGCUAAUACCGGAUAAUGUCUUCGGACCAAAGAUUUAUCGCCUUUGGAUGGGCCCGCGUUGGAUUAGCUAGUUGGUAGGGUAAAAGCCUACCAAGGCGACGAUCCAUAGCUGGUCUGAGAGGAUGAUCAGCCACACUGGGACUGAGACACGGCCCAGACUCCUACGGGAGGCAGCAGUGGGGAAUAUUGGACAAUGGGCGAAAGCCUGAUCCAGCAAUGCCGCGUGAGUGAUGAAGGCCUUAGGGUUGUAAAGCUCUUUUAUCCGGGAUGAUAAUGACAGUACCGGGAGAAUAAGCGCCGGCUAACUCCGUG